UACGAAGGGGGCUAGCGUUGUUCGGAAUCACUGGGCGUAAAGGGCGCGUAGGCGGCCGAUCAAGUCGGGGGUGAAAGCCUGUGGCUCAACCACAGAAUUGCCUUCGAUACUGUUUGGCUUGAGACCGGAAGAGGUUAGUGGAACUGCGAGUGUAGAGGUGAAAUUCGUAGAUAUUAGCUAGAACACCAGUGGCGAAGGCGGCCAACUGGUCCGGUACUGACGCUGAGGUGCGAAAGCGUGGGGAGCAAACAGG
rnacentral:rRNA from 1 species